UCCCUGUUGGCUUAGAUGGUAAAGAAUCUGCCUGAAACGUGGGAGACCUGGGUUCAAUCCCUGGGUUGGGAA
rnacentral:tRNA from 1 species